CUGUGAACUCGGAGCACCGGGGGAAGUGUUAAGUGUUUGCACCACAGGUGUGUUGGACCACCUGGAUGAAGAAGAGGAGGCUUACGGGCCCGGAGAGCGGAGCCGGUGUCGUGUUAGAACCGGAGCCGGGCGAUUAGGCAAUGUAACCGUGCAUGGAUUUAAAAUCAGAAGCGAAAAGACUGAAGAGGACAGAAAGACAGAAAGACAGACCUGGACUUCUUGCUGUUGGACUAGACAGCAGGAAGACAGAGAUAGAGAAGGGGGAGGACGACACGCAACAAUGAACCACAGGCUACCCGGGUCGAAGUCACCACGGCGGCCCGACUGUGUGAUCUCUUUAAACGCUCCGGAACGAAAGAGCUGGUAAUGACCGGAAGUCCCAGUUGAUUGUCGUUCGGGGUGCUUUGACGUUUGGAGACGCGCGAGCGCUUUCUGGAACCGUCACACACACACACACACACACACACACACACACA